GAUGAACGCUGGCGGCGUGCCUAAUACAUGCAAGUCGAGCGAACAGACGAGGAGCUUGCUCCUCUGACGUUAGCGGCGGACGGGUGAGUAACACGUGGAUCACCUACCUAUAAGACUGGGAUAACUUCGGGAAACCGGAGCUAAUACCGUAUAAUAUAUUGAACCGCAUGGUUCAAUAGUGAAAGACGGUUUUGCUGUCACUUAUAGAUGGAUCCGCGCCGCAUUAGCUAGUUGGUAAGGUAACGGCUUACCAAGGCUACGAUGCGUAGCCGACCUGAGAGGCGGAUCGGCCACACUGGAACUGAGACACGGUCCAGACUCCUACGGGAGGCAGCAGUAGGGAAUCUUCCGCAAUGGGCGAAAGCCUGACGCAGCGACGCCGCGUGAGUGAUGAAGGUCUUCGGAUCGUAAAGCUCUGUUAUUGGGGAAGAACAACUGUGUAAGUAACUAUGGCCGUCUUGACGGUACCUAAUCAGAAAGCAACGGCUAACUACGUG
rnacentral:rRNA from 1 species